AGGGUUGGCCACCUUGAGAAGCUGCGAAGAUGGCGGAGUAAGGCGUGCCGCUGCAAACUGGCCUCUGGGCCGGGGGCGAGCAGCCCCCGGGAGGCCGAGUGCAUCUGUUGGACCGUGCGAGGAGAAGAAAAAAAAUAUCGGCCAGAGGAGAGGAACUAACCGAACAUUCUUCCUCCCUACCUUAUAGAGGGGAGUGGUCAUCUACACUAAAGCAAAGUGUUAGGCGCGUCCGUGCGAAGAGACCACCAAACAGGCUUUGUGUUCCUUAUCACAGGAAGAAAAUUUUCCUUGACCUUUAGGUGCUUUUAUAUUCAUCUCAAAAACAAAAUUCUGAACUCAGGACUUGGCAAGUGUCUCUAUGUUGUCUCCUAGAGUGGGUAGUCCUGCUUCUUUUACCCAGUUACUUUCCCGUUUUUGAAAUGUGGCUAUCACUUCUCUACACAUUACCUCCAUGAUUUGGAAUGGAAAAGGCCACUUUUCUUUUUGUUCUGCCUCUCAAAUUCAACACAGAGGAGCUCCUAGGAUUCCAGUUAUCCUGCUAACAUCUCCAGGAAGAAAGAAGCAACUCACAUGGGUCUUUUGCUGUUUGCUUAAUUAUAAAGACAUCAUUUUGCAAGCAGAAGGCUGAGUUUCAUUUGAAACAGACCACCGCUGAAACUUCACUUCUACACAGAGGCUUUCUUUCCCAGAAACCCAGACCAGAUGGAGUUUCACUCUGUCGCCCAGGCUGGAGUGCAGUGGCACGAUCUCGGCUGACUGCAGCCUCUACCUGCUGGGUUCAAGCAAUUCUUCUGCCUCAGGUUCCUGAGUAGCUGGGAUUACAGCCAAAGCUGGACUGUACUGCUGCCAUCUCGGCUC
rnacentral:lncRNA from 1 species